rnacentral:lncRNA from 1 species
ACGUGCCGCGGGCUCAGGAGGGGAGCAAGAGGAGGAAGGAGGCUGCCAGCUGCCCACGUUCCUAGCUGCAGCUCCCUUCCAGCACGGAGGAAGGACAGGUGCUGUGUUUUCGGGCAGGGCAGCAGCCAUGGCCUCAGCCAGCCUGUCACAGCUGCUGGAUGAGGCCAUCGGGACGCCCGAAGUCAGUGUUAACUUGGAGGCGCUCCGCAAACUGCUGAAGAUCAUACUGGGACACCUGAGCCUGCUGGGUCUGCAGGACGUGAUCCCCGAGGAAGCCGCGCCUGUCCCGGGACAGAGCCAGCCCGCCGCAUCCCGGCCCGGCCCGCCGCAGGAGGAAGGCGGGGCCGGCGCCGGGGCUGGAGCGGGGGACACGGGCGAGCAGCCGCCCGAGCAGGAUGAGCUGCAGGGCACCAGGAGCGGCUCUCCUGUCACCUCCGUGGCUGCCGACAUGGGACAGAUGGAGAAAACGGAACCCAAAGAGAGUGGCAUCUCCGAGGAGGCCCACAAGGAGAUGGCUGGGAUUAAGGCCAUGCAGUCCAUCAUGGGAGAGGAAAUCCAGAGGAUCAAGGAGGCACUUGGUCAGACCACAGAUCUCUGCAAGGAUCUCCGUCAGGAGAUCAAUGAGAUGAAGGCCACACAAUCUGACAUGGGAGAGGGCAUCCGGAUGAUCCAGGAAGCACUUGGCCAGGGGAACCUCCAGGAUGCUGCCGGCCAUCCUACCCCUGCCAAGCCCCACACUUCAGACAUGGACAAGCUGGGGCAGAGCCCUGGUACCCAGAGCACCACCCCUGGAAUGCAGACAGAAGCCCCCAGUGCCCAAAGUGGCACCACUGGGACACAGCCUUGUUCCCAAGAAGGCAUUCCAGCUAUGGAGAGCAUUAUCAGAGACCUAUCUGAGCUCCAGGGCCAGAUGUCCUCCCUGCAGAACCUGGCCAGAGAUCUGCAGGAUGAGAAGGAGAAGGUAAG